rnacentral:rRNA from 1 species
AACGGACGAGAAGCUUGCUUCUCUGAUGUUAGCGGCGGACGGGUGAGUAACACGUGGAUAACCUACCUAUAAGACUGGGAUAACUUCGGGAAACCGGAGCUAAUACCGGAUAAUAUUUUGAACCGCAUGGUUCAAAAGUGAAAGACGGUCUUGCUGUCACUUAUAGAUGGAUCCGCGCUGCAUUAGCUAGUUGGUAAGGUAACGGCUUACCAAGGCAACGAUGCAUAGCCGACCUGAGAGGGUGAUCGGCCACACUGGAACUGAGACACGGUCCAGACUCCUACGGGAGGCAGCAGUAGGGAAUCUUCCGCAAUGGGCGAAAGCCUGACGGAGCAACGCCGCGUGAGUGAUGAAGGUCUUCGGAUCGUAAAACUCUGUUAUUAGGGAAGAACAUAUGUGUAAGUAACUGUGCACAUCUUGACGGUACCUAAUCAGAAAGCCACGGCUAACUACGUGCCAGCAGCCGCGGUAAUACGUAGGUGGCAAGCGUUAUCCGGAAUUAUUGGGCGUAAAGCGCGCGUAGGCGGUUUUUUAAGUCUGAUGUGAAAGCCCACGGCUCAACCGUGGAGGGUCAUUGGAAACUGGAAAACUUGAGUGCAGAAGAGGAAAGUGGAAUUCCAUGUGUAGCGGUGAAAUGCGCAGAGAUAUGGAGGAACACCAGUGGCGAAGGCGACUUUCUGGUCUGUAACUGACGCUGAUGUGCGAAAGCGUGGGGAUCAAACAGGAUUAGAUACCCUGGUAGUCCACGCCGUAAACGAUGAGUGCUAAGUGUUAGGGGGUUUCCGCCCCUUAGUGCUGCAGCUAACGCAUUAAGCACUCCGCCUGGGGAGUACGACCGCAAGGUUGAAACUCAAAGGAAUUGACGGGGACCCGCACAAGCGGUGGAGCAUGUGGUUUAAUUCGAAGCAACGCGAAGAACCUUACCAAAUCUUGACAUCCUUUGACAACUCUAGAGAUAGAGCUUUCCCCUUCGGGGGACAAAGUGACAGGUGGUGCAUGGUUGUCGUCAGCUCGUGUCGUGAGAUGUUGGGUUAAGUCCCGCAACGAGCGCAACCCUUAAGCUUAGUUGCCAUCAUUAAGUUGGGCACUCUAAGUUGACUGCCGGUGACAAACCGGAGGAAGGUGGGGAUGACGUCAAAUCAUCAUGCCCCUUAUGAUUUGGGCUACACACGUGCUACAAUGGACAAUACAAAGGGCAGCGAAACCGCGAGGUCAAGCAAAUCCCAUAAAGUUGUUCUCAGUUCGGAUUGUAGUCUGCAACUCGACUACAUGAAGCUGGAAUCGCUAGUAAUCGUAGAUCAGCAUGCUACGGUGAAUACGUUCCCGGGUCUUGUACACACCGCCCGUCACACCACGAGAGUUUGUAACACCCGAAGCCGGUGGAGUAACCUUUUAGGAGCUAGCCGUCGAAGGUGGGACAAAUGAUUGGGGUGAAGUCGUAACAAGGUAGCCGUAUCGGAAGGUGCGGCUGGAUCACCUCCUUU